rnacentral:rRNA from 1 species
CAGCCGUAAACUAUGCGCGUUAGGUGUACUGGUGACCACGAGUCACCGGGGUGCCGAAGGGAAACCGUGAAACGUGCCGCCUGGGAAGUACGGUCGCAAGGCUGAAACUUAAAGGAAUUGGCGGGGAGCACCACAACGGGUGGGGCCUGCGGUUUAAUUUGGACUCAACGCCGGAAAUCUCACCGGAUAGGACAGACAUAUGAUAGUCGGGCUGAAGACUCUACUUGAUGAUCUGAGAGGUGGUGCAUGGCGUCAGUGACU